rnacentral:rRNA from 1 species
UACGGGGGGGGCAAGCGUUGUUCGGAAUUACUGGGCGUAAAGGGCUCGUAGGCGGCCAACUAAGUCAGACGUGAAAUCCCCAGGCUCAACCUGGGAACUGCGUCUGAUACUGGAUGGCUUGAAUCCGGGAGAGGGAUGCAGAAUUCCAGGUGUAGCGGUGAAAUGCGUAGAUAUCUGGAGGAAUACCGGUGGCGAAGGCGGCAUCCUGGACUGCAACUGACACUGAUGAACGAAAGCCAGGGGAGCAAACGGG